rnacentral:rRNA from 1 species
UGGGGAAUUUUGCACAAUGGGGGAAACCCUGAUGCAGCGACGCCGCGUGAUUUAGAAGGCCUUCGGGUUGUAAAAAUCUUUUGUAUAGGAAGAAAAUGACAGUACUAUACGAAUAAGGACCGGCUAAUUACGUGCCAGCAGCCGCGGUAAUACGUAGGUCCCGAGCGUUGUCCGGAUUUAUUGGGCGUAAAGCGAGCGCAGGCGGUUAGAUAAGUCUGAAGUUAAAGGCAGUGGCUCAACCAUUGUAGGCUUUGGAAACUGUUUAACUUGAGUGCAGAAGGGGAGAGUGGAAUUCCAUGUGUAGCGGUGAAAUGCGUAGAUAUAUGGAGGAACACCGGUGGCGAAAGCGGCUCUCUGGUCUGUAACUGACGCUGAGGCUCGAAAGCGUGGGGAGCGAACAGG